GACGUCAAGUCAUCAUGGCCCUUACGACCAGGGCUACACACGUGCUACAAUGGCGCAUACAAAGAGAAGCGACCUCGCGAGAGCAAGCGGACCUCAUAAAGUGCGUCGUAGUCCGGAUUGGAGUCUGCAACUCGACUCCAUGAAGUCGGAAUCGCUAGUAAUCGUGGAUCAGAAUGCCACGGUGAAUACGUUCCCGGGCCUUGUACACACCGCCCGUCACACCAUGGGAGUGGGUUGCAAAAGAAGUAGGUAGCUUAACCUUCGGGAGGGCGCUUACCACUUUGUGAUUCAUGACUGGGGUGAAGUCGUAACAAGGUAACCGU
rnacentral:rRNA from 1 species